rnacentral:rRNA from 1 species
GACGAACGCUGGCGGCGUGCUUAACACAUGCGAGUCGAACGGAAAGGCUCCAGCUUGCUGGCGUACUCGAGUGGCGAACGGGUGAGUAACACGUGGGUGAUCUGCCCUGCACUUCGGGAUAAGCCUGGGAAACUGGGUCUAAUACCGGAUAGGACCGCACUUUGGUGUGUGUGGUGGAAAGGUUUUUCUGGUGUGGGAUGAGCUCGCGGCCUAUCAGUUUGUUGGUGGGGUAAUGGCCUACCAAGACGGCGACGGGUAGCCGGCCUGAGAGGGUGGACGGGCCCAUUGGGGCGUGGGACCGGGCCCAGCCCCCUCGGGGGGGCGGGCGGGGGGAGAUUGGACAAAGGGGGAAACCCCUGAUGCAGGGCCCCCGGGGGGGGGAGGAGGGCUUUGGGGUUGUAAGCCCCUUUCGCUGGGGACGAUGCUUUUUGUGCCGUUCCUGGGAAAAGAAGCCCCGGCUAACUCCGUC